rnacentral:lncRNA from 1 species
GGCGUUUUUCGACAAUUCCGGAGAAAAAAGAGGGGGCCUCGUUCACACCACUAUGCUUUCUUCAAUCUGCCCAUAAACCCUUUUACUUUAAACUAAAAUAUAAUCAUUUCAAGUCAACAAUUAUAGCCCCAUUCUUCCCUCCACCUGAAGAGUAAUGAAGUAAAGAUGGCUGCUUUUAUCGAGUUAAGCCGCUUCUUUAUUGCCCCACAAUCUUCAUGCUGGCUGCACUAUUACACCUAAAAGCAAUGUAAAGCAACACCCUAAAGCAAAAGCCACCUCAAUAAUCAAACACGCACCCGUAAUCAUGCGCCCCCCCCUCAGGUGGUGGC